CCCCAGUAACGGCGAGUGAAGCGGCAACAGCUCAAAUUUGAAAUCUGGCGAGUUGUAAUUUGUAGAGGAUGCUUCGGGCGCGGCCGCGGCCUAAUUUACUUGGAACAGUGAGUCAGAGAGGGUGAGAGUCCCGUUCACCGUUCCGGGUGAAGCUCCUUCGACGAGUCGAGUUGUUUGGGAAUGCAGCUCUAAAUGGGUGGUAAAUUUCAUCUAAAGCUAAAUACUGGCCAGAGACCGAUAGCGCACAAGUAGAGUGAUCGAAAGAUGAAAAGCACUUUGAAAAGAGAGUUAAACAGUAUGUGAAAUUGUUGAAAGGGAAGCGCUUGCGACCAGACUUGGGCGGGGCGGUUCCCCCGGUCUUCGCCGGGCUACUCCGCCCCGUGCAGGCCAGCAUCGGUGCGGGCGGUCGGUAAAAGACCCUGGGAAUGUAUCUACCUUCGGGUCGACUUAUAGCCCGGGGUGUUAUGCGGCCCGCCUGGACCGAGGAACGCGCUUCGGCUCGGAUGCUGGCGUAAAUGGUCGUAAGCGGCCCGUCUUGAAACACGGACCAAGGAGUCUAACAUCUAUGCGAGUGUUUGGGUGCCCCCGGACGCUGAAAGUGAGUGAGGUAGGACGCACUAUCGACCGAUCCUGAUGUGCUCGGAUGGAUUUGAGUAAGAGCAUGGCUGUUGGGACCCGAAAGAUGGUGAACUAUGCCCGAAUAGGGUGAAGCCAGAGGAAACUCUGGUGGAGGCUCGCAGCGGUUCUGACGUGCAAAUCGAUCGUCAAAUUUGGGCAUAGGGGCGAAAGACUAAUCGAACCAUCUGGUAGCUGGUUCCUGCCGAAGUUUCCCUCAGGAUAGCAGUAACGUUUUCAGUUUUAUGAGGUAAAGCGAAUGAUUAGAGGCCUUGGGGCUAGAACAGCCUUAACCUAUUCUCAAACUUUAAAUAUGUAAGAAGUCCUUGUUACUUGGCUGAACGUGGACAUUCGAAUGUACCGUUACUAGUGGGCCAUUUUUGGUAAGCAGAACUGGCGAUGCGGGAUGAACCGAACGCGAGGUUAAGGUGCCGGAAUGCACGCUCAUCAGACACCACAAAAGGUGUCAAUGCAUCUAGACAGCCGGACGGUGGCCAUGGAAGUCGGAAUCCGCUUAGGAGUGUGU
rnacentral:rRNA from 1 species